UCUGGCAAAUCUCAGCCAUUCCGCGGGUGGUCAUCACGACGACUCAAAAAACCCGCUUCGUUUACGCGGCGAUUCGCGGGCCCCACCACGUCCCGUCUUGAGUCUGUGCCACCAGAAGCCCUCCGCUACUCCUGCGGCCUUUUGGAGCCCAGCGCCUGUGAUCCAACACGUUGUGGGGGGGGGGGGUGGACGACGACGGUGCCACUCCUCGUGACCCUCGGGUGUUGUGACUUCGUCCCCAGCCCGCUCCUUCCGCGAGGCCCCCCACGGCCACCCCCCCGCCAAGUGUGGCCACGGGGCCAGUUUGGGGCGUGCACCCGAGCGCGGCCGACUUUCCCGGACGCGUUCGCCGUCUUCUCUCAUCUCUGUCUCUCACGCCUCGUCCCGCUCGCUCGCUCUCUCUCUCCGCUCGGUUGAGAACCGUCGGCGGGGCCGUAGCCGCUGCCUCGCGUAGAAGGAGCUACGGGCCCGGUUCGUACCAUUUUUGUUUGUGGCCACGUUUAUUUUGGGCAGCAGAAGUAAUGGGAGGCGAGACUCUCUCUCUCUCGCCCUGCUAUGAAGCGAUGAGCGCCAUCGUCCAAAACGCGACCUGUUACGUGACUUGUCCUCCUUUUUUUAGGGCAGCGUUAAUCGAAUGUGUUGAGGCUUUAUUAAAUCGGCGAGGGGAUCUUUUUUUCAGGAUGUGGGCAUUGUCGAGCGGGAAAAGGCGUUUUGGCUCAGAUUGGAUUUUCGGGCCCUGGCUGACGACUCACAUCAGCUGCUAAGAAUAGAAUGAUACGAUAGUUUAGUUGAUGUGAAUCUCGUGAAUGCGGCAUCUUUGUACGCAAGCAUCUCAAACAAUCUGACGUGAGAUCCGCAGGCCCUCAAGAGAGGCGUGUCGCAGCUCUUGCCUAGGCCGUUCCUAAUUGUGCAUUGUAGCCAAAACCGUCGCAAGCUGCUGGGAGAUUAUUUAAUGUAGCACACACUGAAAGCCUAACUUAUUCAUAUGAUUGCUUAUUUAUGAUAAUCUCGUUUUCAACACGUUAUUUAACAAUAACAAAAACAUUGUUUGCUAUAAUUCGAUAUAAGCCCAUAUCUUUGAUCAUUUGUUUAAAAAAAAAAGGUCUGAAGCCACGAGCAGAAUCUCAGAAAACAACAAAAGGCUUUCCCACCGGGUAAGGGUUUAACAAGAGGAGAAAUUGGUUUUCAUGAGCUUGGCUUCUGCCAAGAUUCGAACAAAACCCUCUACUUUUGUUACGAUACAGCAUGGCUCAUUGCUUUAAUAAUUAAAAUGUAUAAAGCGCCCUUAAACAAUCGCUCUCGGGGCACUUUCCCUCCGCGCACCGCUGAUCCCAACCAUCUCCACCAUCACUGCGGCCAGGGUCCUGUGCCCAGACGCAGCUGACCUCUUCUCGUCCGCAGCAGAUUGGAGUGCGGGUGAUCCGUGUGCUACCACUGUGAGCCCGACCACCCGAGUUCGAUAGCCAGGCCACGGCUGACAUGAGCGGCGAGGGAGUAUUACUGAACCUCACCUGAGCACCGCCUCGCCUUCAUGCAGCCGCAACGUGCGUCGACGGCCAUCGCCACGGCGGACACGUGGAAGGUUGCGAGGGAGGAGACUCGUUAGUCUGUGGCUUGGAGGUGGCAAACCGUGUCGUGACGGCGCUCGCUUGAACCCGGGACCUGCACCCUCAUGGGCCUCCGGCAGCAUGUGGCCGAGAGCCUGGCCAUGGGGCAACAGGACGAUGGCCGGUGGCCAAGACGAACCACGUGGGUGCCAGGCAAAGGAGAGGACACUCGGAGAUGGAGCGAUCAGAGCGGCUGUUGUGCAGGAGCUCGAUGUAUGUUUGCACCGUGCGACCUUGGGAAGGCUUCGUCCAGCAGUAGACAGCUAAUGGAUGACUGUGGCGAUGGCAGUGCUGGGUGGCAUUAUCGCCAUCUCAUUCACAGGCAGGAUAAUUCCCUGGCGGUGGCAACAGCAGUCUCGUCGGGGCCACCGCAUUCCCGCGAAGCCGCUAAUCAAAUAGCAACAGCCGAGGCUGAGAUCAUUUGUUCGCAGCGUCGGGGAUAACCCCAAGACGGGCGGUGACUGUGGGGCCCGGGAGCCACCGCCACGAGCCGCCUGCCUGGCGGACAUCUCUCGCCUGGCAGGGGCAGCGUCGCCUCCCUCCCCCGCACUCGCUCCUGAGCCCCUUCCUGAUCAAAUAAUUGCCGUGAUUUUCGACGUCCGUCCCCCACCCACCCUCACUUCCUGCCAGCGCGUUACAAAUGCCAGCGGAUUUAAGUGCGUCUGUGCAUGAUAACAGAACAGCAAAAAUGGAACAAAGUAAGUAAACAAAAAUUGCCUAAAGCUAUUUUGGUUCCGAAGGGGGGGUGGGUGGGGGGCUCCGGUGUCCAUUUUGUAAGAAAAAAAAGAAUCCCCGUGGUUUUUGUGUGCCACUUACUGAAGGAUCCAUUUACCGCAAGUUGUUCAUUCGUAAGUGUUUGUGGGGUUUUAUUUUUUUGCUUCAAGGAGCUAUUCUUCGAGCAGACGAAGGUUUCGUUUUGUUAAAGCGAAUUGAGAACGGGAAGGGACAAUUGGCACGUGUUCGGAUGUCUCGAGCGUGGCUCUCAGGUAUGCGCGCCCCACCCACUUAAAGGGACAACCCGAGAUCCUGCGCACAAAUACAUUCUAAGUACCCGUCUAAAAAUAAUACAUUCUAAACGAACGGUUGUAUGUAUUGCCGUAGCAAAGAAAUGCCUUUAAAGCAAUCCCGCUCAAUUGUAGACCAGCGAAUCAUCACCUCGUGUGUUUUAUUAAGGGACGGCGCGAUUUUUGUUGGGACGGACCUGUCAUGGAUUAUUGAUGCACAUCUGAAACAAAGGUUGGUUGAUCAGCAGUCCUCGUUCAUCUGCAGAUGGAGAUCCAAGUAACUUGGUGUGGCAUCCCACGCCGUCUGUGUUGCCUCCCUCUCUCAAACCAAGGUCGCGUUCACAAUGCCGCUGCCGUAAACGGGACGUCAUUGCCCUGGUUUUCCAAGCGAUCCCAGAUUUUUUUUCUGAGGAUGUCGUUAAAAGGCAAAUUCCGCAGCCCUGUGAUUUGCAUGCCGACGCCACUGCUGGUGCAGGCGCCUCCACUCGAGAGAGAGCUCUAGGGAAAGUCCCUUCGACAGGGUAUAUUGCUCCACGCCGGCCAGGUGGGAUACCCACACUUUACCCCACCACAUGUGCCCUGCCAAUGGUAGAACUGUGGUGAACCCAUUGAUACUGCUGGGUGGACAGAUUUGGGUUGGCGGUGGUGGUGGUGGGGGACACCUCCAUUGUUUUCAACUGCUGAGAUUUUCUCAGCUCCUGCGAGGUCGUCUGAGUAGGUUACUUACCUCCGUGCGGAAAUAUUUCCCCGGUUUCUAUGUUGACAUCAAUAAAGCACACAAUGGGCCGCUACAUCGUUCGUUGCUGGAGGUUUCAAUUGAAAACGGUUGUUUAAUACGGCACGCAACGUUCAUCGUUCAUUUGAAGAGCUCGCUAAGAUGCUGUUUGUACUUAAUUAUUAUAAUGUACAAACCUCCACUGUGUUAUUAAUGAGGCUUUGUUUAACCAUACUUCACCACGCCGGAGAGUGGAGAUAUGUGAAGAGGACGGGUGCCCAGCAUCGGUCGUGGCCGGACUAAGCUUGUGCGGGGCCUGUAGCAUGAUGUUAUAAAGGGGCCCUAAAUAAAACAAC